rnacentral:rRNA from 1 species
AUGAACGCUAGCUACAGGCUUAACACAUGCAAGUCGAGGGGCAGCAUCAUCAAAGCUUGCUUUGAUGGAUGGCGACCGGCGCACGGGUGAGUAACACGUAUCCAACCUGCCGACAACACUGGGAUAGCCUUUCGAAAGAAAGAUUAAUACCGGAUGGCAUAAUUAUUCCGCAUGGGAUAAUUAUUAAAGAAUUUCGGUUGUCGAUGGGGAUGCGUUCCAUUAGGCAGUAGGCGGGGUAACGGCCCACCAAACCUACGAUGGAUAGGGGUUCUGAGAGGAAGGUCCCCCACAUUGGAACUGAGACACGGUCCAAACUCCUACGGGAGGCAGCAGUGAGGAAUAUUGGUCAAUGGACGAGAGUCUGAACCAGCCAAGUAGCGUGAAGGAUGACUGCCCUAUGGGUUGUAAACUUCUUUUAUACGGGAAUAAAGUGAGCCACGUGUGGCUUUUUGUAUGUACCGUAUGAAUAAGGAUCGGCUAACUCCGUGCCAGCAGCCGCGGUAAUACGGAGGAUUCGAGCGUUAUCCGGAUUUAUUGGGUUUAAAGGGAGCGUAGGCGGGUUGUUAAGUCAGUUGUGAAAGUUUGCGGCUCAACCGUAAAAUUGCAGUUGAUACUGGCGACCUUGAGUGCAACAGAGGUAGGCGGAAUUCGUGGUGUAGCGGUGAAAUGCUUAGAUAUCACGAAGAACUCCGAUUGCGAAGGCAGCUUACUGGAUUGUAACUGACGCUGAUGCUCGAAAGUGUGGGUAUCAAACAGGAUUAGAUACCCUGGUAGUCCACACAGUAAACGAUGAAUACUCGCUGUUGGCGAUAUACAGUCAGCGGCCAAGCGAAAGCAUUAAGUAUUCCACCUGGGGAGUACGCCGGCAACGGUGAAACUCAAAGGAAUUGACGGGGGCCCGCACAAGCGGAGGAACAUGUGGUUUAAUUCGAUGAUACGCGAGGAACCUUACCCGGGCUUAAAUUGCAACUGACGGAACCGGAAACGGUUCUUUCUUCGGACAGUUGUGAAGGUGCUGCAUGGUUGUCGUCAGCUCGUGCCGUGAGGUGUCGGCUUAAGUGCCAUAACGAGCGCAACCCUUACGGGUAGUUACCAUCAGGUUAUGCUGGGGACUCUACCCGGACUGCCGUCGUAAGAUGUGAGGAAGGUGGGGAUGACGUCAAAUCAGCACGGCCCUUACGUCCGGGGCUACACACGUGUUACAAUGGGGGGUACAGAAGGCAGCUACACGGCGACGUGGUGCUAAUCCCAAAAGCCUCUCUCAGUUCGGAUUGGAGUCUGCAACCCGACUCCAUGAAGCUGGAUUCGCUAGUAAUCGCGCAUCAGCCACGGCGCGGUGAAUACGUUCCCGGGCCUUGUACACACCGCCCGUCAAGCCAUGAAAGCCGGGGGUACCUGAAGUACGUAACCGCGAGGAGCGUCCUAGGGUAAAACUGGUGAUUGGGGCU